UCAGGAGUCAAAACCCAAUGCCAAUAGCAGAUGAUCUGUUGUCAAAGAGCAUGAUUGGUGAAGAAGAGUACUCCAGAAUAAAAGCUGAAACAACGGCACAGGAGCGAAUGAGAGAAUUACUGAAUGCAGUCCUCCCUAAAGGACCAGAAGUGAUGGGAGCUUGUCUCAAAGCUCUCAGUGAACAUGAACACCAUCUUGUUAAGUACUUGAGUGAAUCUAGCACCUAAUCUGAAGAUGCUGAGGCCUGUCUCCUAGUCUGUGGACAAAGACACUUCUUAACCUAAUCUGAAGAUGCUGAGGCCUGUCUCCUAGUUUGUGGACGAAGACACUUCACCUAAUCUGAAGAUGCUGAGGCCUGUCUCCUAGUGUGUGGACGAAGACACUUCUUCUUCUGUUUUAUUCAUGUGCUGUUCUGUAAACUAAUUUGUGUGUUCAUGCAAGUGGCUGACUGUACAAAUCCUCACUAUCAGUAGCUGUAAUUUGGCAGUAAGGCCAGACGUUGGUUUGAGAACGAGAUAUCUCAGUUUCAAGGUCUCAGUUUAGAGAGAAGAAGUCUUGUGAGGUGUUGGUCUGUCAAAUGCUAUGAACCAGUAUUGGUCGGUCACAUGAAUGAAGCAAACAGUAAUGAUUCAUUAAUUAUGCUAAAUCAUGCAAAUGUAACUUGUCUGUGUAAAGCUAUAUAUAAGAAAACUGCUGGGGCUGCCCCAGGCAUAGCCCCUGAUUGACAUGUGUACUAUGGUGCAUUUAGUUGGUUGGAACCUCUCCAGCUCACUGACAAUAAAUAAUGAUUAAUUUAA